rnacentral:rRNA from 1 species
AUGAACGCUGGCGGCGUGCCUAAUACAUGCAAGUCGAACGCAUAGCGAAAGGUGCUUGCACCUUUCAAGUGAGUGGCGAACGGGUGAGUAACACGUGGACAACCUGCCUCAAGGCUGGGGAUAACAUUUGGAAACAGAUGCUAAUACCGAAUAAAACUUAGUGUCGCAUGACACAAAGUUAAAAGGCGCUUCGGCGUCACCUAGAGAUGGAUCCGCGGUGCAUUAGUUAGUUGGUGGGGUAAAGGCCUACCAAGACAAUGAUGCAUAGCCGAGUUGAGAGACUGAUCGGCCACAUUGGGACUGAGACCCGGCCCAAACUCCUACGGGAGGCUGCAGUAGGGAAUCUUCCACAAUGGGCGAAAGCCUGAUGGAGCAACGCCGCGUGUGUGAUGAAGGCUUUCGGGUCGUAAAGCACUGUUGUAUGGGAAGAACAGCUAGAAUAGGAAAUGAUUUUAGUUUGACGGUACCAUACCAGAAAGGGACGGCUAAAUACGUG